rnacentral:rRNA from 1 species
GACGAACGCUGGCGGCGUGCUUAACACAUGCAAGUCGAACGAAGUGGCGAACGGGUGAGUAACGCGUAAUCAACCUGCCCUUCGGAGGGGGACAACAGUUGAAAACGACUGCUAAUACCGCAUACUGAAGGAGGGGAUUGCGUCUGAUUAGCUAGUGGGAGGGGUAACGGCCCACCAAGGCGAUGAUCAGUAGCCGGUCUGAGAGGAUGAACGGCCACACUGGGACUGAGACACGGCCCAGACUCCUACGGGAGGCAGCAGUGGGGAAUAUUCGGCAAUGGACGAAAGUCUGACCGAGCAACGCCGCGUGAGUGAAGAAGGUUUUCGGAUCGUAAAACUCUGUUGUUAGAGAAGCGGUAUCUAACCAGAAAGCAACGGCUAACUACGUGCCAGCAGCCGCGGUAAUUC